rnacentral:rRNA from 1 species
GAUCAUGGCUCAGGAUGAACGCUAGCUACAGGCUUAACACAUGCAAGUCGAGGGGCAGCAUGGUCUUAGCUUGCUAAGGCCGAUGGCGACCGGCGCACGGGUGAGUAACGCGUAUCCAACCUGCCUUACACUCUUGGGCAGCCUUCUGAAAGGGAGAUUAAUACAAGAUGUUAUCAUGAGUAAGCAUUUUCGCAUGAUUAAAGGUUUACCGGUGUAAGAUGGGGACGCGUUCCA